UACGGAGGGGGCUAGCGUUGUUCGGAAUUACUGGGCGUAAAGCGCGCGUAGGCGGCUUAGCAAGUUAGAGGUGAAAGCCCGGAGCUUAACUCCGGAAUUGCCUUUAAAACUGCAUCGCUAGAAUUGUGGAGAGGUAAGUGGAAUUCCGAGUGUAGAGGUGAAAUUCGUAGAUAUUCGGAAGAACACCAGUGGCGAAGGCGACUUACUGGACACAUAUUGACGCUGAGGUGCGAAAGCGUGGGGAGCAAACAGG
rnacentral:rRNA from 1 species